GUCGACGAUAGCCAAGUAGUAAACAAAGCAGAAGCGUCCAGGGACUGUUCCAAAAAUUCUGCUCCGAGGAAAUAAAGAAGAGAAAAAGUUGUGAGGGAAAUUUUUUUAGAAUAGUAGUUUAUAAUGCCUAUUCCUCAAGAGCAAUAUGAAGCAUUUCAUUGAGAAUUGAUAUAAAAGAUGGACAGAAGAUUAUCCUCAGUUGUGUAAAUAAAUUCCACAUCAAAGUGGGAAGUGAAUGUAUUUCUUGCAUUUAGCUAGAAAGUUGUUGUUGUUGUGGCUUAUCCUUCAGCUGUCUGACGAAGUCAGACAAGGCCCAUUAGACCAUUGACUAACCCAGACUAACCGCUGACCCGGAGCUAAAACAGACCUCUACCUUUUUCGACAUUCUACAUUCAGAAUCUCUCAUUCAUUCUACAUUCAGGACCUCUACAUUCAGAAAGAAAAUAUUUAUAUGAUAAAAUACCUUGCAAAUUUUAUUAUAUCUGAGAAUUUUUUAAAGAUAAAUCUUACUUCAUUAUUGUAAAGAUUUAUAUGUAAAAAUUAUUAAUAGA